rnacentral:rRNA from 1 species
AACGAACGUUGGCGGCGUGGAUUAGGCAUGCAAGUCGAACGAGGGCAGUCCCGCAAGGGAUUGACCCGAGUGGCGAAAGGGGCAGUAAGGCGUGGGUAACGUACCCCCUGGUCUGGGAUAGCCACGGGAAACUGUGGGUAAUACUGGGCGACGUAGCGUGGUCGCAUGGCCGUGCUACCAAAGGUCUGCCGCCGGGGGAGCGGCUCACGUGGUAUUAGCUAGUUGGUGGGGUAACGGCCCACCAAGGCGAAGAUGCCUAGCAGGUGUGAGAGCACGACCUGCGCCACUGGCACUGAGACACUGGCCAGACACCUACGGGUGGCUGCAGUCGAGGAUCUUCGGCAAUGGGCGCAAGCCUGACCGAGCGACGCCGCGUGCGCGAUGAAGGCCUUCGGGUUGUAAAGCGCUGUCGAGGGGGAGGAAAGCCGCAAGGCCUGACCUAUCCCUGGAGGAAGCACGGGCUAAGUUCGUGCCAGCCGCCGCAGUAAAAC